rnacentral:lncRNA from 1 species
AUGUCAGACGAGGUGUGUCUGAGUCCAGUGCUGGGGGCCAGGCAAUGCACCCACACACAGAAAGUGUCACAGUUUCCCUGGACACUGAGUCCCUGGUCCCAGCCUCUGGGCUGCCCUGUCCUCACAUGCACCCCAAGUGCCCACCCGAGGAGGGCAGCUUCCCUAGUGGUAGAGUGGGGAGGUGUCCAGUCUCUUCUCUCGGAGCCUGAAGGAGCCACCCCAGAGAGCUGGGGCACAGUGGGUGACAUGGCAGCAGUGGGUCCCUGCCGCCCGGAUCCUCACUUCCCUGCAGCGGUUCCCCAAGAUCCCACAGCUAGGCGGCCCCCUUCCCCCUGCUCCCCAACAUGCCAUACCCUGUCCGCAUCCUCCCUCAGGGCUGCGUCUGCCCCAAGCCAAGCUUCUGCCUGGCCCACAGUGACUCCUGCUGGGCACCCCUCCACCAGCCGCCUGGCACCCUUCAGGCUGGGCGACGCGAGGCUCCCUCCUGGCCUCCAGGCCUUCUUCCUGCCCUGCCCCUCCCUCCACACAGCAGCUGGGGCGCCCAGAGCACCACCUGCCCUCUGGGCAGGGUGCCAGCCAAGGCCACCCGCACUACCUUUUACCGUCUCCUCUGUACAUGGAACAGGGACCCCUCCCUGCUUCUCUUCUUGCUGUCCCCUUGUCCUGACAUGCCCCCGCCCUGAGCUUUCUGCCCAGGAAACACCUAGAUCUCACCCAGCCCUGCACCUGCUGUCCAGUCUUUGUGCUGCCCACCCUCUCCUGCCCAGCCAGGCCCUGCCCUCAUCCUGCCUGGCCCCGCCCAACAGUCCUGCCUGGGCCCUGAGGCCAGUGGGGGGCCAUCUCAUCCCCUUGUUCCCUGGGCCAGCACACAGGGGCACCUCCAGCCUGCCCCCGCCCCCUGGGACUCCACCCCUGCGGCACCUGGCCGGGCUCCUCACCUGUGAGCCUUCAGUGUCCCUGAGCUGCUUAGACCAGGGGACAGCCCCCAGAGGCCAUCAGGGCGCACACUGCCCCGGGGUCCCAAGGAGGGGUGGGCCCAGAGGGAAGGAUGAGAAGGGCCGUGUGGGAGGGGUGGGGGGGUGGCAGGCCAGGGAGCAGCCACAUGGAGGGGGCGUUGGCCCACAGGCCUUGGCAGUUAGGGUUGGGGGCUAG